GAUUCUUUAUUGAGAAGAUUUUUGAAUAGCAAUUCUGAAGAAAAUAAUCUUUAUAAUAUAUUUUCCAGAUUUCAUCGAACAUGGUUUAGAACUGCACCCAUCGUUUGCACGAUACCGUUGACGUAUAUUUUAUCUUCAUGAACGCUAUAAAAAGCCGUAUUUCAAACGGACACGUCGAUAAUCGGUGCUUGCUAGGUGACAAUAUCUAUAGGUGUAUGCAGAACAAUCAGUGAGUCACUGAAAACCUUCGCUCGAUACAUAGCACCGUAUUCUUGGAAAAGGUCUGUGAAUGAAUCCGUUCCAACAAUAAGAAUCCUCGUAUCAAUCAACGCGGCAAAAUCGAUCAGAGCGGACAAUGAAGUAAUAGGAAUCUUUGGCUGACGAUAGUGUCUGGUCGCAGAGAACAUGAAAAAUUGCAUAAAAACAAUUUCAAAAUACUCAGUUUAUUUUAAAUCUUACUUUUCAGCUGAACAGCAGAAAGUGUUAAAUAUACUUGAGAAGAAGCAAUGUCCAACAACGGAACGACCAAUUUUAGCUGAACUAUCGAACGAUCACUCUAGCUUGCGUUUCAGAAAGUUUUUAAAAAAUGUUUCCAAUCCACAGGAAAAAUGAAAGUAAACUCCUUGUUGAAUCGAUAAGCGGUAUGACCGUCAAACGCAUUAUUGCUUAUGCAAUUGAUCAGAAAUUUAGUAUGAUUGGAUGGUAAGAAAAAUGUAUAGCAAUUGCAUUAAUAACACGUUGACUGUCGCAAGACUUUUUGUUAAAGUAUGACAGACAACGUAUUAACGACUGUCACUACAUUGUCAUUUCUAUUGUGACAGUCAACUAUGAUAAUUGCCGACUUCGGACAAGGUCUUAUUGAUUCCUGACACUUGACGAUUACGUGGUUCAAUGAAAUUACCGUUGUUUAGUGUCCACCAGGUUGGAAAAUGAGCAAUGAUUCAGAAAAAAGGAGAGCACGCUCAAUGGCGCUGCACUUGAACUUAUCGCACGAUCGUUAAACGUUCAAUAUCGAUGGGAAACGUAACUUAUAAUAGGCUAUUCGAUCGGACGUAUUUUUACGAUCAAUUUACGAUUGAAAUUACCAUCCGUCGUUUGUAUCUAAAGAAAAAGUAGAUUUAUCGUUGUUUGAUUAAUCGAGCAACCGAUACUCCAAUUUAUUUUCAACGAUGUAAUUGAAUAUUCAUUCCACUUCCAUUUCUUACACUGGAAUCUUGAAACGAGAGUAGAUUGGCAUAGUGUAUAUUACGCUCUUACAGCAACGUCCUCUAAUUUUCGUUCAUUUAAUUUUCUAGGGCAACCCGAGUUAACUCUGAUCCCAAUUCAUUCACAAGGAGAAGCACUUCGGAUAUUAUGCACCAAGUUUGAAUGAAACUCAGCAAUCGGAUCAAGCUUGAAAAGGUUGGAAAUGAUCUUAUGGAAAGGUGAUUAAACCGGAUGGUUUAAGAAAACGUGUUCAACCGUCGAGAAUGAUGCUUCGUUUACUUGAUAGAUGAAAGAUAGCAUUAGUGGCUCAUCGUUUAUGGCGAAGAAAAAUUGCAGGGCAGAACGCGGUGACGAGUUCUUGAAUUAAUGACUCAAAGAGGCGCGAACGAUGCGACGGUAAUUGCGUUUCUCCCGCUGACGAGGGGUGCAACGCAGAGAAAACAAAUUACUCUCUCAUUGCUGCUUCCUGCUGCCUAUUUGGGACUGACUGAGUUUAUUUUUUCACACUGUUAUUCAUUUCAAUGCAAUGAAUUCUAACUUCAAUCUCUCACAAGAUUAGCUAACUUAUUUAUAACUCGUUAAAAAACUGACGACCUUAUAUUUUUAUACAGAAAAGAAACUGAAAAUGUUCUAAUCAAGUCUGUUCGCUCGUAUUCGACUGGAAAACACCGAACGCAUAAUCUUGUUUUUGCAUCAGAAGGCUUCCUUAAAUACAUACAUCAUUAUUACCGAGCCUCGCUUUUAAACCAACAUUUAGAACAGACGAGCUGGUCGACCAAAAAAUUUACAGACGCGUGUUGCGUGCGGAAGGUGGUCCGUUGACGCAUUGCAGAAUAGGAACGGUAGGGAGGUGAGCGAAACCGGUAAAAAGGGUAGAGGAGAGCAAAAGAAAGAUGCAAAAAGUAGCUAGAGAUGGUGACGCUUUUUUAGCCGAAUAAGAAACGCAAGUUGGUCCGUGGGUUUAGUAAAUCAAUUUCGUCGAAGGACGAUCCAAGUCCGAGCAUUGCGACGGGGUCAACGAGCCGCACGGCGGCCGCAUUAAUUAAGUAAACGCUGCUCCUAUUGCCGACCUUUUUCAACGGUUAAUCGCGAAUGGUACUAGCGGGUGUCCAGAAUUAACGCAGCACGUGCGGCUUCGAUCAAGAUACCCUCAUCGCUCCUUUCGUCGAAUGACGAAACAAAU